UACGAAGGGGGCUAGCGUUGUUCGGAAUCACUGGGCGUAAAGCGCACGUAGGCGGAUUGUUAAGUCGGGGGUGAAAUCCUGAGGCUCAACCUCAGAACUGCCUUCGAUACUGGCAAUCUCGAGUCCGGAAGAGGUUGGUGGAACAGCUAGUGUAGAGGUGAAAUUCGUAGAUAUUCGGAAGAACACCAGUGGCGAAGGCGGCUCACUGGCCCGGUACUGACGCUGAGGUGCGAAAGCGUGGGGAGCAAACAGG
rnacentral:rRNA from 1 species